AGAGUAAUAACGCUAUUCCACGUUGAUUGCAUGAGGAUGACAUGAUCAGGAGGUGGUGGUGUUCUGUUCUCCUCCUGGACAGCUUCACUCCGCAAAUAGCUCAACCACUGAGGGGAGGAACUUCACCAUUCAAAAGACAAUGUCUUCAGGCAGAGUCCAGCAAAGCAGCUUCCCCUGGAAAUCCUCAGUGAAGUUAUUUUGUCAGUGGGUGACUCUGCAUAUUUGACACUUUCUCUGGUUUGCAGAUGGUUUAGGGAUGUGGUCACUCAAGAAGUUUUCCGGAAAGCGGCACACUUUGCCUGGCUAGACAUUGUGGCCAGCUGGAAGAAUUGUCCUCCUGUCUACCAGAACGAGUUCAGACAGAUGUACAACC